GACGAACGCUGGCGGCGUGCUUAACACAUGCAAGUCGAACGGAAAGGCCCUGCUUUUGUGGGGUGCUCGAGUGGCGAACGGGUGAGUAACACGUGAGUAACCUGCCCUUGACUUUGGGAUAACUUCAGGAAACUGGGGCUAAUACCGGAUAGGAGCUCCUGCUGCAUGGUGGGGGUUGGAAAGUUUCGGCGGUUGGGGAUGGACUCGCGGCUUAUCAGCUUGUUGGUGGGGUAGUGGCUGACCAAGGGUUUGACGGAUAGCCGGCCUGGGAGGGUUACCGGCCACCAUGGGCCUGCGAGACGCACCAGAAUCCUACGGGAGGCAGUAGGGGGGAGUAUUGCGCAGUGGGCCGAAGCCUGUGGCGGCAACGCCGGGUGCGGGAUGACGGGUUUCGGGUUGUAAACCGCUUUCGCCUGUGACGAAGCGUGAGUGACGGUAAUGGGUCAGGAAGCACCGGCUAACUACGUG
rnacentral:rRNA from 1 species